rnacentral:rRNA from 1 species
CGGAGGGGACUAGCGUUGUUCGGAAUUACUGGGGCGUAAAGCGCGCGUAGGCGGAUCGGACAGUCAGAGGUGAAAUCCCGGGGCUCAACCCCGGAACUGCCUUUGAAACUCCCGGUCUGGAGUUCGAGAGAGGUGAGUGGAAUUCCGAGUGUAGAGGUGAAAUUCGUAGAUAUUCGGAGGAACACCAGUGGCGAAGGCGGCUCACUGGCUCGAUACUGACGCUGAGGUGCGAAAGCGUGGGGAGCAAACAGGAUU